rnacentral:snoRNA from 1 species
UAACACCCAUAAUAGUAGGAUCAUUUCUAUAGGUCACGUCCCUCUUUGACUCUUCAAAAGAGCCACUGAAUCCAACUUGGUUGAUGAGGUAGAUACCUUUGUACCCUAGAGUGAGAAAUUAAUUUUUAGCUUGUCCAUGAUCCUUAGUGGUCUGGUCAUCUGCAAUUUUAUAUUUUUGCCUUUUAUAAUUCUGAAUCCACUUUUUGUGGUUUUCAGAUGAAAAGGCGCGAUGAUCUUGACCCGUUAUAUGUACUUCUUCGUGAAGGGAUGUAAUCUGGGUGGGUACAAAUGGCUGUCUGACAAGU